rnacentral:rRNA from 1 species
ACCUCAAGUCGAGAAAGGUUACCCGCUGAGUUGAAGCAUCUUCCUAAGCGGUGGAAAAGAAAGCAACUGCGAUUGGAUCAGUAACGGCGAGUGAACCUCCAUCAGAUCACAUGUAAAGGCCUCCGGGCCAUUGUAAUGGUAAGAGUAGGUGGACGUGUGAGAAAAGUCUGGAUGGAUCCAGCGCCACAGACCGUGACAGC